AUCCACGGCACAAAAGGCAACAGCAGAAGCUACAGUAAUUACAGAAUGUUUGGCAACUCUGCUGGAGCUGGGAGCGGAUCCUACUCACUGACCUUUCUAGGGAAGAAAGUAGGGAGGCAUCGCUCCGUGGCUCCUGCAGGCACUCAACAUGCUUGGGAGAAAAGCAACCGAUGCUCUGAUGACCCUGAGGAUGCUGUGCGAUCGGGGCGGGUCCCAGGACUGGUGCAGGCGGUGGACAACUUGCCAGGCAGCGUACCUGAGCUGCAGGAGGACGUGUCCCGUCCAGUGUUUCACAGCACAGCGUCUGACAAUGCAGCAGGUGUUACUGGGAGGAAGCUAGCAGCAUGACGACACGCCCACAUUCCUGUAUGAGGAAACACAGAGGGAGAGGGUGGGGCAGGAAUGCAUAAGAAAGAGUCAGACAGACUGUGUCAAAAUCCAGCCACACUGACAUUUAAUUUAUUAACUAAUAGCUAUUGUACCUUCCCAAUUAAUAUUACCUCAUAAAAUAAUUAAAUUAGUGACGUUUUCUGCAUUUUUUUAGAAACAAACGUGUAAAUAGACAUUAAAUUGCCAACUAAUCAUGCCUCACAUUAGGAAAGAUGUAAAACCUGUUAUAAACCUAAAAAAUAAAAUGCUUAAAGUAAAGUUUACGUGAUUUUAUUUCUCAUGACUGCAUCCAAGAACAAUAAAUAAUAUAAUAAUAUAAAUGUAUCAACUUCAGCAUAAAACUGGCUUUAGGACACACACACACACACACACACACACACACACACACACACACACACACACACACACACACACACACACACACACACACACACAUGCGAACACCCACUAAAACUAUUUGAUGAUUUCGACAUCCAUCUGUACAAUAUUAUGUUAAUGUAACUGAAGACAAUCACUCCUGGAUUGGUUGGUAAGAAAUGAUGCCAAACUUUGUGCUGCUCUUACUGUUUUUGUUUUUUUAACCUAUUGCUCCACUCACCGAGCUGAUUUCAUCUACCCACCGUUCACCGUUCAAGCUGUCGCUCAUCACAAGUCUCCGUGGGUGAGGAGGUGGGGCGCGUUCAGGCGCUGGAUGGGUGCAGACCGGAGGAGGCGGCCCACGCAGGAAGUCAACCAGGCCUCGUCGGCGUCUCAGCUGUCGGGAAGUAGCGUUGCAGAUCGGGCCACAGACGCUAAGAGAUCCCAGGAUGUCAAGAUCUACAUCCCCUAUGAGUCAGCUGAGCUCUGCAUCGCUCAGAUAGGUGAGGACAUUGAAGCCAUGAAGAGACGACACCUGCUAACAGUGCAGGAGCUGGAGGAGAGCUUCCAGGUCACAGCCAGACAGAACCAGGAAUGCACCGUGCGGAAGAUCACAUCUCAUUAUCAGAACAAGCUCAACCACCUUCGGAUGAUCUUGGACCUUUAUCAAGAGAAAGUGGAGAAGAAGAAGGCCGGGUGGAAGCAGAGAGUUGAGGCCUUGACGGCGCAGAAUGAGCAGCUGCUGGUGGAGCAGGCGGCUGAGAUGAGGAGGAGUAAGGAGGAGGCCCAGCAGUGGGACAGAGAAAAGGUUACUUACAAUCCUUCCCCUUCACAAUAAAAUAACUUCCUUCUCACCGUAUUUCU
ensembl:lncRNA